GAGGGUAUAGCUCAGUGGUAGAGUGCAUGCUUAGCAUGCACGAGGUCCUGGGUUCAAUCCCCAGUACCUCUA
rfam:Camelus ferus unplaced genomic scaffold scaffold320, whole genome shotgun sequence.